AUCCAGCUGACGAGUCCCAAAUAGGACGAAGUGGCGCGCAUCCUGGAU
rfam:Schistosoma mansoni strain Puerto Rico chromosome 2, complete genome